UACGUAGGUGACCAGCGUUGUCCGGAUUUACUGGGCGUAAAGAGCGCGCAGGCGGUCGUUCAAGUCGAGUGUGAAAGCCCCCGGCUCAACUGGGGAGGGUCAUUCGAUACUGAUCGACUCGAAGGCAGGAGAGGGAAGCGGAAUUCCCGGUGUAGUGGUGAAAUGCGUAGAUAUCGGGAGGAACACCAGUGGCAAAGGCGGCUUCCUGGCCUGUUCUUGACGCUGAGGCGCGAAAGCUAGGGGAGCAAACGGG
rnacentral:rRNA from 1 species